UACGGAGGGUGCAAGCGUUAUCCGGAAUCACUGGGUUUAAAGGGUGCGUAGGCGGCGCAAUAAGUCAGAGGUGAAAGGCCACAGCUCAACUGUGGGACUGCCUUUGAUACUGUAGUGCUUGAAUUAGGCUGAGGUCGGCGGAAUGUGACAUGUAGCGGUGAAAUGCUUAGAUAUGUCAUAGAACACCAAUUGCGAAGGCAGCUGACUAGACCUUAAUUGACGCUGAGGCACGAAAGCGUGGGGAGCGAACAGG
rnacentral:rRNA from 1 species